AACUGAAAAAUAAAAUAACAAAUAAAAACUCAAUGGAUGGGUUCAACAGGAGAAUUCAGGGAGCACAAGAAAGAAUCAGUGAAUUGAAAAAUAGAACAACAAGAAUUAGUCAAUCUGAAGAAAAGAGAGAAAAUGGACUGAAAAAAUGAAAUGAAUAGAGCUUCAGGGACCUGUGUGAAUAUAACAAAAAUCUAACAUCUGUGUCAUAGAAGAAAAGGUAAAAGAGGGUGAAGCUGAAAAAGUACUUGAGAAAUAAUGGCUAAAAUCUCACCAAAUUUGGCAAAAGACAUCUACCUAGAGAUUCAAGAAGUUGAGCAAAUGAGAAUAAAUUCAAAGACAUCUACACCACAACACAACAGAGCCAAACUACCAAAACUAAAGACAAACAGCGUAUCUUCCUCACAGGGACAGGGAAACGACAUGCCCACAGGGAAGACACAGCUUAAAUGGCAGCAGGUGUCUCAUCCAAAACCAUGGGGUCCAAAAGGAAGUGGUACCGUGCUUUUCAAGCGCUGAAAGAAAAUAUAUGUAAACUCAGAAUCCUAUAUCCAGUGACAAUAUCCUUCGGGAAUGAAGGGGAAAUCAAGACAUUCUCAGAUAAAAGAAAACAAAAAGAAUUUGUCACCAGCAGAACUACCUAACAGAAUGGCUAAAAGAGUGAUAAAAGGAGGAAUCCUGAAACAUCAGAAGGGAAAAAGAACACAGUAAACAAAAACAAAGGUAAAUACAAUAGACCCUCCUGUCCCUCUGGAGUUGUCUAACUGAUGUUUGAUGGUGGAAGCAAAAAUUAUAACUGUGUAUUUUGGUUCAAGAUUUCAGUAGAGGGAAUAGUUCAGGCAACUAUAUUAUAAAAGGGGGGACUUAAAGGGACAUACGUCAUGGUACUGGUAAACAUGACUAUUCAACACCUCUCUUUCAACAACUGAAAGAAAAACUGGACAGAAUAUCAGAGGAUAGGGAAAAAUUCAGUAAUACCAGCAACCAACAGGAUAUAACUGACAUCUAUAGAACACGUCACCCAAGGAUGGCAGAAUGCACAUCCUUUUCAAGUGCCCACGGAACACAUACAG
rnacentral:lncRNA from 1 species